GAUGAACGCUGGCGGCGUGCCUAAUACAUGCAAGUCGAGCGAACGGACGAGAAGCUUGCUUUUCUGAUGUUAGCGGCGGACGGGUGAGUAACACGUGGAUAACCUACCUAUAAGACUGGGAUAACUUCGGGAAACCGGAGCUAAUACCGGAUAUUAUUUUGAACCGCAUGGUUCAUAAGUGAAAGACGGUCUUGCUGUCACUUAUAGAUGGAUCCGCGCUGCAUUAGCUAGUUGGUAAGGUAACGGCUUACCAAGGCAACGAUGCAUAGCCGACCUGAGAGGGUGAUCGGCCACACUGGAACUGAGACACGGUCCAGACUCCUACGGGAGGCAGCAGUAGGGAAUCUUCCGCAAUGGGCGAAAGCCUGACGGAGCAACGCCGCGUGAGUGAUGAAGGUCUUCGGAUCGUAAAACUCUGUUAUUAGAGAAGAACAUAUGUGUAAGUAACUGUGCACAUCUUGACGGUACCUAAUCAGAAAGCCACGGCUAACUACGUG
rnacentral:rRNA from 1 species